rnacentral:lncRNA from 1 species
AGAAAGGAGAAGAAACCUUCUUCUGGUUUUUGUGUUUGUGGCUGCAGACUAUGCCGUGCAAGACUUGGUAAACUGGUCCCUACCGCAGAGGAUUUUAUACAGAGCACGCUAGUGGCUCACAGAAUAUUUCACUGAUUGCCUUGCCCGCUUCUCAAAGGCCCACUUCUCUGUGGAAUGAUGCAGUUGCUAAGAAGAGCUGUUAAUGUCAUGACCUCAAUGAAUAAAAAAGACUUCCUUUUCUCCAUGCCCACUCAAGUAAAAGGCUUCUCUCUGAACUCCUGCUAAUUUUUCAUCAGCAAAGGUGCACAGCCUUUUGGAAGUGAAAUGAUUACUAGUGAAGAAAAAGAAAGAACCUAACACUUAUUUUACAAGCCUCCCAGUGACCACUCUUCAGACAAAACUUCUUAUAAUAGCUUCCUUCCC